UACGAAGGGGGCUAGCGUUGCUCGGAAUCACUGGGCGUAAAGGGUGCGUAGGCGGGUCUUUUAAGUCAGGGGUGAAAUCCUGGAGCUCAACUCCAGAACUGCCUUUGAUACUGAAGAUCUUGAGUUCGGGAGAGGUGAGUGGAACUGCGAGUGUAGAGGUGAAAUUCGUAGAUAUUCGCAAGAACACCAGUGGCGAAGGCGGCUCACUGGCCCGAUACUGACGCUGAUGCACGAAAGCGUGGGAAGCAAACAGG
rnacentral:rRNA from 1 species